CAGGGUCGGCUUCGGCCGUACACCCCCAAACCAUUGUGAAUCGCACUUAUAACUCUUAUAAUUGUAAUCUCUGAGCAACUUUUAAUAAGUAA
rnacentral:misc_RNA from 1 species